rnacentral:rRNA from 1 species
AUUGAACGCUGGCGGCAUGCCUUACACAUGCAAGUCGAACGGUAACAGGUCUUCGGAUGCUGACGAGUGGCGAACGGGUGAGUAAUACAUCGGAACGUGCCUAGUAGUGGGGGAUAACUACUCGAAAGAGUGGCUAAUACCGCAUGAGAUCUACGGAUGAAAGCAGGGGAUCGCAAGACCUUGUGCUACUAGAGCGGCCGAUGGCAGAUUAGGUAGUUGGUGGGAUAAAAGCUUACCAAGCCGACGAUUUGUAGCUGGUCUGAGAGGACGAUGAGCCGCGCUGGGACUGGGACACGGCCCAGACUCCUACGGGAGGCAGCAGUGGGGAAUUUUGGACAAUGGGCGCAAGCCUGAUCCAGCAAUGCCGCGUGCAGGAUGAAGGCCUUCGGGUUGUAAACUGCUUUUGUACGGAACGAAAAGCCCCGGGUUAAUACCCUGGGGUCAUGACGGUACCGUAAGAAUAAGCACCGGCUAACUACGUGCCAGCCGCCGCAGUAA